GGCUGGCUGGCCAAAUGGUAAGGCGUCGGACUCCUAUCAGGAAUCGUAAUCCGAAGAUUCUGGGUUCGAGUCCCAGGUUGGUCG
rnacentral:tRNA from 1 species